rnacentral:lncRNA from 1 species
AGUCUCUAGAAGAAGGCUGCAAACGUAGGUGCAGCCCUAACAGCUUUCUUGUGCUGCUUUACUAAAAUACUACAGCUUAGAACAGAGAGAUGUACAUAAUUUUCUAGCACACUCAUUGUCUGAAUUCUCCACUCUUAAUGCCAGCAAUAAGAUCAAUUAUUGCUAACAACGCCAAUUGUGCCUUUUGUGACACUGAUUUGCUCCUUCAGGGCCGGAAGAGGGAUGUUGCAUGUACUUCACAAGCAAGGCUGAAGAUGGCAAAAAGGCUGGGUGAUUCUUUGUCCAGUAUCACAACCAUAACAAGAGACUCCGGUCACGUUCAGUGACAGUAGCAGGACUGUGCAACAAAAGGCAGAUUGGCUUCUCAAACUCAAAGCUUGCUGGAUAUGGAGGGAACAUAGGACAUCUUCUGAGGGACAAAUAUAUGGAGUAACGCUGUGUUUAGGAGAAACAUCUGGCCUUGAUACAGGGUAUUCACCAGGAAUUUCUGCAUGUUUCAUUAACUACUGCGACAUCGGUACGUCUGUGACUAGGAAGAACUCCACUGAUUUCAUGUUUCUCAGAGAUUUGCAGGAACUGGGGACGGAGUUUAAAUCUGUGAGUUUCAGUUCAGUUUGUGGAAUGGCUUGCAGAAAUAAGAAAUGGAAAACACAAAUGCUCUUGAAAAUGGUAAAAGCAAAUAAGCACCUCUCAGCAAGCACCAUUGAAUAUGCUAAUUUACUAUAUGGAAAUAAGAUUUACCAUCACUUUUUGGGUAUAUAAAAGGGGAGCUGCUAAGACAGUCUGGCCUACUCGAAAAAUUGAAGAGUGAGCUCCUGAGAAACUAAGCUUUUUGCCCUCUGCACUUGUUGCCACCUUGAUCAGGACCGUGAUUGCCUUUGGCGAUGGGGAGAACAGUGGCAGGAAGGAGACCUCCUGGGAAAUAGAAGACAAGGUACAAUUUGACUCUGGCUUUAUGGAAGCCAUGAGCACAUGAACAACACAAUAUCAAAAGCUGCAACCUCUCAAGAAAUUGUUAUCUUACAGACUCAGAAGAGGAAAAAAAAAU